rnacentral:rRNA from 1 species
AUUGAACGCUGGCGGCAUGCCUUACACAUGCAAGUCGAACGGUAACGCGGGGGCAACCCUGGCGACGAGUGGCGAACGGGUGAGUAAUACAUCGGAACGUACCCAGUAGUGGGGGAUAGCUCGGCGAAAGCCGGAUUAAUACCGCAUACGACCUAUGGGUGAAAGCGGGGGAUCGCAGGACCUCGCGCUAUUGGAGCGGCCGAUGUCGGAUUAGCUAGUUGGUGAGGUAAAAGCNCACCAAGGCUACGAUCCGUAGCUGGUCUGAGAGGACGACCAGCCACACUGGGACUGAGACACGGCCCAGACUCCUACGGGAGGCAGCAGUGGGGAAUUUUGGACAAUGGGCGAAAGCCUGAUCCAGCCAUGCCGCGUGUGUGAAGAAGGCCCUCGGGUUGUAAAGCACUUUUGUCCGGAACGAAACGGCGAAGGCGAA